UUUCUGGUUUGAACUUGCUUAGAAACCUGUAUUUUUUCCUGCUUUGUUUUCUGUUUGGUUCUGCUUCUGGUUCGGUUAUUCAACUUUUAGAUAGGAUUGAAAGAUUUGUUUUUUAAUUAUUAAAUUGGAACAGAAAAAUAGAUAUUUUGUGCUGCCUUCUUCACUGCCUGAUAAAACCACUUCCUCCUCAUUUCUCUUUUUCUUCCUAUUGUGUUGGUCUUUCAGUGUCAUAGCUUCUCUGCUGAAAUCAAACUGUAUGCAUUUUGCCCCUUUUUUUUCAUUACCCUAUUAUUUGUUGUUGUCCUCACCCUGUGAAUCGAAUGCUGAGUUUUUUUACCCUAUUAUUUGUUUUUGUUCAUUCACAUAUGAUGCACUGUUAAUCGUUUCCUAACAAAUAUGUUUAUAUAUGUUUAUAUAUGUUAUUUUCUGUUUGGUUUGAUUCACAGGGAUAGCUUUUUUAUGGUUGUUGUUGUUAGAAAUAAAUUUAAUUUUUUAUGCCUUUGAAGAAACCCUGUGAAUCAAAGGCUCAGCUUUUUUAUGCUUUUUU
rnacentral:lncRNA from 1 species